GCCGCCCCGUCUGCGCCUCUCUCCUCUCGGCUCUCUCCCUUUGGGUCUGUCCUGGGAAAAGAAGAAAGUUUAAAAACUCAAGUCUGGCUUGCACGAGCCCCUCUCCCUGCAAGUGGCUCUGUACUGGAGAAAGGGGCUGUUUUGCUCUGUGUAAACAAACCUUGUUGACAAGUAGAAAAGGCUUAAAAAGCAAAACAAAUCAAGGGAAGUAGCUUGUGAGAGCCAAAACUCAGCUGUUGUGGCACGGAGCUUGUUGUUCAGAAAGCACCUGGGCCAUACAAGGCUGACUCCAGUGCCGAGUGGCAGCCUGAAAUUAAAACAAGACAGUGCCAUUGCUUGUGACGCCAGUCUCAGGGCUGGUGGGGCUCCCGGCUGCCCUGUGCAGAAGAGCUGGGACCCCCAGACACCACGGGAUUCUGAUUCUUCCUCCCUCCUCCUCCUCCUCCCCCAGCUUUGUGGUCUUGCCCUGCCAGGUGAGGGCUCCAUGCCCUUGGCUUCCUGGGGCUCCCUCGGGCUCCUUCCUCCCCAGCUGACCUGGGAGCGAGCAGCCACAGCUGCCAGCUUUUCUCGGAGCUUUCUCUGAAGUCUUGCCAGCAGCCCUGAGAGGUGGCUGGUGCAUGACAGCACGGACGUGUGCCCUGUGACAGGUCCGUGGCUCGCCCCGUGCAGCUUGGUGCCCUCUGGCAGCUCUUCUUGGUGCAGACUUUGGCUCUGCAGCAUAUUUCUGUUUGGCUCCGGCUUCCAGCCCAUGACUCUGCUCUGCAAGCCCCGUUCUGCCCUGGCUUCACCCUGCCUGCUUCGGGAACACGGUGUCAUGGUGCUGGUCUCCGUCCUGAGUCACGCGUCUGGGCAGCCGCUGUGCGGCGGUCACCGGAGCCACGUAAUGGCCUGCGGGACUCAGUGGAGCUGAGGGAGCUGGUGGUUGUGCUCAGAAACUCCCGUGUGAUGCUGCUGCCUGUUUGUUAGAGUCAGGAGCAUUUCCCCGUAGUACAUUUCUCUUACACAAGUGGCUGAAUGGACUGCCAGGGAGUUUUUCUUAGGGCGUAUGUGCCAGGAACCUGGGAAGGGCUAAGAAUGGUUAUUAACGUGUUGUAAUAGAUUAAAGUUGGUGUUAAUGGUGACGAAUUGCACCUAGGGAAAGCUGCUGUUUGUACAGGCCUCCUGAGGUGCUGCUCACAGUGGCUGAAGGGGCCCUGGAGCAGACAGGAACAGGUGUGGGGGUAGCUGGGGGGCUGAAGGAAAAGCUGUUAGUUUUGUGACCUGAAAUUAAGGCUUCUCAGGGUUGAAGCUGUGUAUUCCUUAAUUGUUUUGUUUGCUUUGAGCUAAUUGUGCUGGAGUGAAGCUGUGGCACCUCAAAGCCCAUGAUGUGAUUGUAUCUCUGGUCAGUGUCUAAAUUAGCAUUAGCUUGGUGUCGCAACGAAGAUCAACUGACAUCUGGCCAGUGCCUUUAAUUCAGAAAGGGACUGCAAUCAUAUUUUGGAAACACUGUUUGCCUGGAGUUUUGAUUUGGUACACGGCAGCUAUUUACAGAAACAAACAAACAAACAAAAAAAAGAAGUUAAAGGAAGGGAAGAAUUGCAUUAGCCAGUUAAAACAACAGCACAAUUGCACUCUGACCACCACCAAAGCACAGACAGCUCUUGCAAGCAGCCCUGAUGCGUGUGUUGCAGAGGCUCUGCUUCUGGUUGUGAAAAUCCCCGUUGUGCUGAGCUGGGGCCUUACCUCCCCUGGCUCAUGGGGAACAAAAGCACUCGGUGAAUCACCCACUGCGCUGUGGAGGCCUUUGGAGAGCUGCCACCUGCAUGCCGGGCAGAGCCAGCCCUCCUUAUCCUGUAAAUCUGAUGGCUUUACAAAUCGGGGAGCAGCAGCGGUGACUUGCUUUGGGGAAAUUCAUUUGGAAUCCAAGAGACAAGUAAGAGGUACAGAGCGCUGCAGAGCCUCCAGGCUUUCUACGGAUAGAGAAAGCAGGGAGAUGACAGAUGAGCAAGUUCUCAGUGCAAAGCCUCACUUCUCAAGCACCGUGCUGGCAGCCUUGACAGCCUGAAAACUCAUUGCUUUGCUGAGAAACUGCCCUAAAAUUAGGACAAAAGAAACAGCUUCCUCAACCCCUCUUUGAGGUUAGGGAGCAUCCCUUCCUUGCCUCUUCCAUAUAUUCUGAAUUUAUAUAUUCCAAUUAUUCUGAAUUACCUGCUUCCAAUGAACCUAACCAGAAGAUUUCACGACUUCGUGGGGCUGAAGCUCCAGCCCUGUCCUCCUCUGUUAACACAGCAACGCUUUGUGGUGUGCUCUGUUAGCAGGCUGCUCCCCACCUCAGGCGAGGUUUACCUUUGCUGAAGACCUUCAGGGGAAAUUAUUACCCAUCUGCUACAGCUCUUGAGCACAUGCCAUAUAGGUGCGGUUGGGAUAGCGCUCGCCUUCGGAUGCUUUACCUCUUACUGAUAACGAGAGGUUCAGACCUUUGUGCUGUAGCUGCAGGCGCUGGAGCUCAGCCCACAGCUCUCUUCUGGAACUUCCUGGCAAGAGGAGAGAAGAGGGCAAAAAAAGGGAUUUUACACAGCAAGUUAAAAAUGAGCAAUAACCACUGCUGAAGCCAACUCCUAAAUGUUUGCUUUAGGGAUGUCUAUUAUUUCAGAUGCUUGAGGAAAGGAGAGUUUCUUCUGAGUUAUUUUAGUUGUCCUGAAAUAUUAUUUUUUAAAGAGUUUUUGGGUUCUCAUUUUCCAUUACUCAAGCACAGUUGCAUUGCCAAAGAAGCAACAGACGGGAUUCAUGACAAAUGCCACAAUAUUUUAUAGGCAUUUUCAAGGAUGAUGCAAACUGUUUUAGCCAAAGACUGCUUAUAGUUUCAGGUUUGUAAGUUGGCAUAUGCUGAAAUAAGGGUUGCACUAAUUGCAGUAGCUGCAGAACUGCCAUAUGUGACCCACCCUUACCUUAAUUAUCAAGUCCUAAUUUAUUGGUAAGGCAUGUAUUUAGAAAUAACUGCUUGUAUAUGAGCUAAGGUUAUAGGGAAACAUGCAGAAAUAACAGGGAACUGACCUGAUGGUUGCAUUAGGAUUCGAGAUUUUUUUCCCCCUCAUCAUGACUCACAAACAGAUUCCCUAUAAAACAUGCACAAUAGGAUAGGGAAGGCAAGGGACUGAAGACAAGGCCCUGAUAAAUCUGCUUUGCCGUGUGGCUGAAGACAGCAAACAGCUGAGGUGCAUUUCCAGGGACAUGUGGGUGACCUUGAGCUCCAACUCGAAGUGCCCAAUGCCAGCUGCUCGGUGCCUGCUGCCAGAGCCACGUCCCCAAAGCACCGGGCAGCUGCCUCCAGGGAAGUGCUGCUCUUGGUGGUGACGGGAGCGCUGCAGAGCACGGCAGCUGGGCUAGCCCAGGGAUGUGCAGUGCAGCAAGAGAGCAUCUGGCAGGAAAUGCAGGAGCUCGCCGAAGCACAGUGAAGGGCGGUGGGCAGGCUUGGCCCCCCUAAAAGCAAGCAUCAGGGGUUGUGGCUGGGCAGGCGCCUGCUGAGAGGGGCCUCGGUACAGCUGAGAUGGGAAAAUUCAAGAGGGAAUCUUUUCCAGGCUGACACUGCACGUGAGAGGCCCAGUGUAAUUCCCCCCGUGGCUUUUAACCUUGCUGUGAUAAAAGCUGCUAGGUGUGGCGGAGAUGACACGGGGCUUGCAGAGCCCCAUUGUUCUCUCCUGAGCCGGACCCGGUGUCCUCAGAGCCAAGUGGCAUUUUGUUUGUCUAAGCCAUGGAAAAAUGAGCAAGGUUGUUCAGGCUGAUUUUUUUUUUAUUAUUAUUUCGUAGUUCCUUGAUCAAGCUGUAGUAUCAAGGGAAAAAGAAAAAUAGAGCUUGGAUCCAACAAAAACAUUGAUUUAAUUUAAAUUGUCAUUUUUUUAACAGAAACUUCCAAUAUUUUGUUUUGAAAUAUGUAGAAAGCCAUUUCCUUGAGCUCAAACUCCCAGAUAGCUCUUAGUCUCCCAAAGCUGUGUUGCUGGGCCAACAAGCUCUCACAAAUAAAUGACUGCACUGGGGAUUUGCGAGCAGCCAGAGGAAGCUGCAUCCUCAGUCUGCGGCUGUUCAAAUCUAUUGCUCCAAACCUGAAUUCGGUGCAAGCAAUGCCUCUGCCAGGUCAGCUGAACAAACUGCCCCCUCGCACCAUUUCCAUUUGUUAUCCCUGGAUGAAACAAAGCUGCCUGAUGCACUGAAGCAUAUUCCUGGUGCAUCUGUUGCAAGGAAGUGGUCAGCCUCUGUGUAUUGAGACCGAAGCACUUUGCAGUUAUUCAGCAGGGAACUGGUGAAGGAGCAGGUACGGCUGUCACUGGCACAGCUGCGUAGUGCUUGUGCAAACAGCCUGCAGUGAGGGAAAUGCACCAGCCUUUGGGAAGGCUUCUUCAGAACAGCAGGAACAACAAAAAUCCCCUGCACCCAGAAAAUGGGCAGAGCAGUGAAGCCCAAGCUGGCUUCUUGCCUUUUCCUCCAGCAGCAGAGCUGAAGCACUUGUCAAGUCAAUGCAAAUGCUGGAGACCUGAAGGGGCAGGAGGAAAGUGGGGAGAGGAUGGGAUGGCACUGGCAGUGCCACUGUGGGGUGAACUUCCCCAGGAGUGCCAGUCCUGACAUCACGGUCAAAGCUUCAGGCUUUACAAGUUGUGAGUACUGGGUUUGGUGUGGGCAUUGUGAUACCUUGUGUUACUGACGUAACAGGAAGGAAAAUAAGGACUGCAAAAUGAACUUUAUUGAUAAUCCAAGAAUAGCAGGAGGCUGGUGCACAAAGGGCUUUGUAUCUUGUUUUCAGGAUGCUGAAAGGUCUACAGGUUGGCUUGGUCAGCUGCGUGGACUUAAAAGAAGCCAUAAGUCAGAUCUGUGUGAAAGCUGGCUGAUACCAAAUGUCCACGGCCCCCUAUUCUUGCUUUAAAUCCCCAAACAAAAGAGAAAACAGGCACGAUCCAGUUUCUGUAUGGCAAACACUCGCUUAUUGUUUUAGGAACUGCAUCUCUGAUUAGUCCAUGCCUCACUCACAUUUUCCAACCAGUAAACAACGGCCUUGGUGCCUCGUCGUGUUUACACGUUCUGCCUGGUGGGCUUUCUUCCCCAGCCACCUUCAUUUAUUUAUUUUUUUACCACUUGAUCCAUCACAACAAGCCAGUUGCUGCUCCGUCCUUGCCUGAGCCACUUCCCUUUGCUGUGUGAGGGUUGGAUGUGGCCUUUGACAUCUUCGCUGGUUGCUGCCCCGGUGUUGUAUGAGCUACAGCAGCAUUCGGGGGCAUGCAGAGAGAAGGGCUACCACCAGCUGAGUGCUGCAGGGCUGUAGGGUGAAAAUGCACAUCUUUCCCUCCCCGUGCCUCCAGAUUUCUCAAUAGCAGGUUUGCACUAUGAAGUUAACGUCCAAAAACCUUUGAGUACUUUGAUUAUUUCUAAAAUGGAGCAGGUGUGCGUUACAGAACUAGAUCUGUAAUGUGCCUAUCCUCUUUUGUUAGUAAUUUUCCCAGAGUCCUACAAAUUCUUGGUGUCUCCAAGGGGCAAAGCACCUUGGUGCUUGGACAGACUGUCAGCAGCCUUUGAGGCCUCACCGUGCCUUUCUGUGGCUCAGCAGAUGUGAGAGCUGUUGAUGGCACCUGGCGUCACUCCUGGAAAACUCACCUCUCUGCUUGUUGCAGAAAUUGAAAGGCAAGCGCGGGAGGUUCAACACAAAGCACAGUUGUUAUAUUGUACCCACAUGCUGACAGAAUAUAUUGCUCUAGGUGUCAACACACCCUGUGUUGCAGUCAUGUUUCUGAUGGCUUGAGAUGAUUGAUGCGAUGUUAGCAGAACAGUUCUCCAACGGCAGUGUCACACAGAGCUGGGGUGGCAGGAUCGGUGUGACGGGUUGGGCUGGGUGCUCUGCCACUGCCAGGUUUGGCUGCGUGUACGGGCAGUGCUGGAGCUUUGUUUGGGUAGGAAACAUCCCAACGACUGCUAGGAAGGUUCAGAGAAGCAGAGGAAUCCAGCCUGCUGAGAAAGCCACAUAAGAAAUUGUGAUAUGUAGAAAGAAGAAUGCUGUCCAGGGCCUGAUGGGGUGAGAAACUCUUCUCACAGAAUACCGUCAUCAUCUUCAGUGCUGCUCAGGAUGAGCAAGGACAAGAAGUGCAGUGAGGAAAUGCUGCAGAGCAAUUCCAUGGCAAGCAGGUACACAAGUGACAAGGAAAGGGGAGCUAAGGACGUUCCCUUCUUUCCUCCUGCACUUCCAUCACUGUUGGCAUGCUCCUGGGCUUGCCCCUGGCCUGUGUGCAGCUCCUGCUCCCUUCCCUGCUGCUGACCAGUGCAGAAGUUGUGCCUGGCCACAGCUCAGACUGGUGGAGGCUCAGCGUUGGCUCCCCUCUGCCCAGCCACUGCUUGCUGUGAGGCAGGGAAAGCCCUUAGGGAGCGGUGCUGCUUGUACCAGAUAGCGAGCAGAGCUUUCUGCAUGACGUUAACGUGCCUCCUACAUGCCUCCUUUUAGCACGUGCCAGAGUGGUAAUGGCUUUUGCAGCUUAAGGCCAGAACGACAUCCGGGGCAAAGUCUGUGGAAUAGCACAGGACUUUGUAUUGCCAUGGAUGGAAGUGCAGCUUGUGAAGCUUUAACACAUGUGCAGAUCUCUAGAGCAGAGAACACCAUCGGUGUGUGAUGGUAACAGGAGGAAGGGAAAGGUUUUUUUUUGCCCAGUGGUACAACAUUUGGGAAAACAGCUGGGCAGAAGGGGCUCACUGACAUUAUCACUCUAGCAUUAGCACUGCUUGUUGUGUUACCGCAGUGUGAGGCACAGUACACGUUACCUCUGACCUGAGUUUCCCAUUCUGGGGAGGGCAGCUUCAGAGCUGCUGUCCAGAACAUGCGACUGUCCCUUCCUUCCCCUCCAACACGGCACUGCCUUCAAGGCUCCCAGAUGGGAGCUGAACUGGAGAGGCUGUUGCAAGCUGCAACUAGCAGCAAAAGGGUUUUGUUCCCCCCUCCUUGUCCAUGCCAGAUGAGUAUUAUUUACAGGAAACACUUUGUGCAGCUUGGAGGUUUGUUUAGAGAAGGAGUGUAGAGGGAGGAGUCAGUUAAAAGCAUAAUGGAAAUAAAAUAAAAUAAAAAGGUCAUGGUAAUGCUCGAGAAGGUCCAUAAUUUCCUGGUGUGGGAGUUUUGCUAUUCUGGGGACUGAGGGAACAGCAGAGCUCGGGCUCUGGUUCCCAGGGGGAGACAGUGUUUGUUGGGGCUGGUGAGCAGAGGAACCAAACCAGCCUUCCCUGGGAAGAGAUCAGAUCCUGCUGUGGCCACGGGGCUGAACCCAAAUCAGCUGCUGGAGACACAGCUGCAGCAGCAGUGCUGGAGAAACCCCAAGCAUGCCUGCCUGGGGAGCAAGCUGGAGUCCUAAUCCUCAAGAGCAGCCCCUGGGUGCGAGUUUAUUUUUGCCGUUAUCAAGGGAAAUGGGGAUUGCCUAUAGCCUUAUAUAAUGCACAGAAUAAACAAAGGAAAUGAGUACAAGAUGCCCUCGGCAAUUACAGCCAAGAGUUGUCGUUGAGUGACUCAGCAGCCGAGUUGAAAGUGCCUGGACAUGUACAGAGAAAAGUUGCUGAGAAGAAUAACAGAUCUCGGCGAGUUACAAGUCAGGACAAAGGAGCUGCACGUGAUAGACCAGGGGAGGUUGCAGGGAUUUAGUCAAGUGAGUUUAAGGCCGAUGAAAAGCUGUGA